ACAGCCUGCUGUUCACUCUGAUUCUGAACAGCAGGACUCAUGGCAAGUAAAGCAGCCCGGCUUUGUAGUCAGAGGGAUAUGAAAAAUACAGUGCUCGUAUGCUGUGGGGUCUAUACAGGAAUGUGACACAUUGGCUUCUGAGCUAUUUCAUUGUGGAUAAAUAAUGAAACAGUGAUUGGAGCACGGCAACUGGACCAGAGGUCUCCCACCUCCAGGUGAACGCCCUAACCUCUGGACUACAGAGUCAUUCCUCUCUUUCUCUGGCCC